rnacentral:rRNA from 1 species
UACGUAGGGGGCGAGCGUUGUCCGGAAUCAUUGGGCGUAAAGAGCGUGUAGGCGGCUUGGCAAGUCUGACGUGAAAGCCCGCGGCUCAACCGCGGAUUGUCGUUGGAAACUGCCUCGCUAGAGUCCGGAAGAGGAGAGCGGAAUUCCUGGUGUAGCGGUGGAAUGCGCAGAUAUCAGGAAGAACACCCGUGGCGAAGGCGGCUCUCUGGGACGGUACUGACGCUGAGACGCGAAAGCGUGGGAGCGAACAGG